GUGGCUUCUUGGCCUUUUGACUAAGAUCAAGUGUAGUAUCUGUCCUUAACAAUUUAAUAUCUGAUACUUCUUUUUUCCGAGGACGAUCUAUUAAAUGGAUUUUUGGAGCAGGGAGAUGGAAUAAGAGCUUGUUCCAUCCAUUUUAUGCAUCAACCUGGUAUUGCAAUCUUCCAGAAAUGAUGCACCCCCU
rnacentral:snRNA from 1 species